CUCAUUUUCCCCCAUUGACCACUCCCCAGCUGCCCCCACCCCAAGAUAGUAUAUGUUAAUACACUAUACAAUAAAUUUAAAGGUGAAUGAUUUAAGAAUAGUUAAAAAUUUACAGACUGGAUUUUUUUUUUAAAGUAAGACCCAACUAUAUGAGAUUGUAUUGAUCAGGGGAACAAAAGCAAUAGGAUGAAUUAUUGGCCAUUGACUCACAUGAUCAUGAAGACUACAUUCCACAGUCCUCUGUCUGCAAGCUAGAGAACCAGUAAAGAUGGUGGUAUAAUUCAGUUAGAGUCCAAAGUCCUGAGAAUCAUGGGGACUAAUGGUGUGAGUUCCAGUGGGAUCCAAAGGCCAAAGAAUCAAGAGACCAAUGGGGUACAUGUCAGUCCACAUCUGAAGGUUAAGAACCAGGAGCACCAAUGUCCAAUGGCAGGAGUAGAUGGAUGUCCCAGCAGAGGCAGAGAACGAAUUUGUCUUCCCUCUCCCUUUUUGUUCUAUUCAGGCUCUCAGAUGACUAGAUGAUAUUUACCCACAUUGGUGAGAGCAAUCUUCUUUAAUUAGUCUAUUGAUUCACAUGUUCAUUUGUUCUGGAAACACCCACACAGACACACCUAGAAAUAAUGUUUUACAACCAUCUGGAUAUCCAUUAGCCCAGUCAAAAUUAACCAUUAUAGAGGUCUACAAGAAACAUUUUUUAAUAUUAUGAUAGAGGACUUCGAGUUUCAGAUCCAAUAUGUAAAAAGUUUGGAAGUUAUAACUCAUAUCCUUAAAGAGAGGAGAGAGAGAGAGAGAGAAAGAGAGAGAGAGAGAGAGAGAGAGAGAGAGAGAGAGAGAGAGAGAGAGAGCGCGCGAGCGCGCUGUAAAGCAAUGGCUUUUCUCGGACCCAGCAGAGAACUGAGGCUGCCUGGCAAAUUGCCACCCCAAAAUCUGGGUAGACAGAUCCAGAGUUGAAGCUCAGAUUCACUUACCUGAAGCAAAACCCCACCAGAGCCAUAAGCUUAAUUGGCAGAUUUGACAAAGGUUGAGUACACUGGCUUGAGUGAGAAACUUGGUUGCAGUUUUGGAAAGGGGGCACAUAUAUCAUUAGUUUUACCUCCAGGAAUCCCACCAAAUUCUCAGAGAAAAGGUGAAAAAGAUCCCCCUCAUGGCUCUGGCAAGAGGACUAGAAAUCAUUGAAAAAUGUGCCCAGAGUGUUUUCCAUAGCAAAAGCCCAGUCUCCGGGGG